AGAAGUUCUCACCCUUAAAACCAGCAGCAUUGGUUUUCCAGUCAUUAGCGUUCAAAUGUCCUGCACGGGAAGUCCUGACAAUAACAUGCUGCACGUCUCUCCAGGUCAGAAACGGACUGGGGAAAGACAAGCUGCUGGCACUGAAGAUCACAGACACUACUGAAUGGAAGAUACUUUCAUCAGAGAGCUGCAAAACUAAUAAACACACAGAAAACAAAUCCGAAUAUAAAUUCACAGUCUUUCAUUCUCUUUCAAAGAACAUGUUAUUUUCUAGACAGCAUUUGACUCAGUGCCUGCAAGAAAUUCUAACCAGGAUACUUAUUCAAUUCAAUCUUGAAUGUGAGCUAUGACUU